UGAGGAAUAUUGGUCAAUGGGCGCAAGCCUGAACCAGCCAAGUAGCGUGAGGGACGACGGCCCUAUGGGUUGUAAACCUCUUUUAUGCGGGGAUAACCGGUGCCACGCGUGGCGCCCUGCAGGUACCGCAUGAAUAAGGACCGGCUAAUUCCGUGCCAGCAGCCGCGGUAAUACGGAAGGUCCGGGCGUUAUCCGGAUUCAUUGGGUUUAAAGGGAGCGUAGGCCGCCCUUUAAGCGUGUUGUGAAAUGUAGGGGCUCAACCCCUGCACUGCAGCGCGAACUGGAGGGCUUGAGUACACGCAAGGCAGGCGGAAUUCGUGGUGUAGCGGUGAAAUGCUUAGAUAUCACGAAGAACCCCGAUUGCGAAGGCAGCUUGCCGGAGUGUGACUGACGCUGAAGCUCGAAAGCGCGGGUAUCGAACAGGAUUAGAUACCCUGGUAGU
rnacentral:rRNA from 1 species